ACGGGUGAGUAACGCGUGGGAACGUACCUUUUGGUUCGGAACAACACAGGGAAACUUGUGCUAAUACCGGAUAAGCCCUUACGGGGAAAGAUUUAUCGCCGAAAGAUCGGCCCGCGUCUGAUUAGCUUGUUGGUGAGGUAACGGCUCACCAAGGCGACGAUCAGUAGCUGGUCUGAGAGGAUGAUCAGCCACAUUGGGACUGAGACACGGCCCAAACUCCUACGGGAGGCAGCAGUGGGGAAUAUUGGACAAUGGGCGAAAGCCUGAUCCAGCCAUGCCGCGUGAGUGAUGAAGGCCCUAGGGUUGUAAAGCUCUUUUGUGCGGGAAGAUAAUGACGGUACCGCAAGAAUAAGCCCCGGCUAACUUCGUGCCAGCAGCCGCGGUAAUACGAAGGGGGCUAGCGUUGCUCGGAAUCACUGGGCGUAAAGGGUGCGUAGGCGGGUUUCUAAGUCAGAGGUGAAAGCCUGGAGCUCAACUCCAGAACUGCCUUUGAUACUGGAAGUCUUGAGUUCGGGAGAGGUGAGUGGAACUGCGAGUGUAGAGGUGAAAUUCGUAGA
rnacentral:rRNA from 1 species